GGAGGGGGAGGAGAUGACAAAACACAUUGGUAGUUGUACUAGGUAGCAUAUGUAGAUGUGUGUUAUGGAUCAAACAAAGAAGAUGGGCCAUAAGAAUUGAAUAAUGGCCCAUUAAUAUUAAGUGUCUACAUUUGAAGAAAAUGGGAAAUUCAUAGCAUUCUGGAAAUACCAAGCUGGCAGGACGUUCCAGAAGGGAAUCAAGUUUGUUAGAGGGAAUUUUGGAUGAAUGCAACUGGUGAUGCUUACGAUGAUGCAUAGUAGAGGAGCGUAUAGAAACUUAUAAAGAGGCAUAGACCAAAUGAAGAGGGCAUGAGAGUGUUAUGAAACGGGAUUUUCCAUUCUAGAGAUGAGCAUAAAUUAGAGAGAAAUAGAGAAAGAAAGGGAAGGGAAAUGGAAGG
rnacentral:misc_RNA from 1 species